GCCGACUUAGCUCAGAUGGCUAGAGCGCGUCACUAGUAAUGAUGAGGUCGGAGGUUCGAGUCCUCUAGUCGGCA
rnacentral:tRNA from 2 species